rnacentral:rRNA from 1 species
UACGAAGGGUGCAAGCGUUGUUCGGAAUUACUGGGCGUAAAGCGCGCGCAGGCGGUCCUUUAAGUCUGAUGUGAAAUCUUGCGGCUCAACCGCAAGCGGUCAUUGGAAACUGGGGGACUUGAGUACAGAAGAGGAAAGCGGAAUUCCACGUGUAGCGGUGAAAUGCGUAGAGAUGUGGAGGAACAUCAGUGGCGAAGGCGGCUUUCUGGUCUGUAACUGACGCUGAGGCGCGAAAGCGUGGGGAGCAAACAGG